rnacentral:rRNA from 1 species
AACGAACGCUGGCGGCAUGCCUAACACAUGCAAGUCGAACGAGACCUUCGGGUCUAGUGGCGCACGGGUGCGUAACGCGUGGGAACCUGCCCUUAGGUUCGGAAUAACUCCCCGAAAGGGGUGCUAAUACCGGAUAAUGUCUUCGGACCAAAGAUUUAUCGCCUUUGGAUGGGCCCGCGUUGGAUUAGCUAGUUGGUAGGGUAAAAGCCUACCAAGGCGACGAUCCAUAGCUGGUCUGAGAGGAUGAUCAGCCACGCUGGGACUGAGACACGGCCCAGACUCCUACGGGAGGCAGCAGGGGGGAAUAUUGGACAAUGGGCGAAAGGCUGAUCCAGCAAUGCCGCGUGAGUGAUGAAGGCCUUAGGGUUGUAAAGCUCUUUUACCCGGGAUGAUAAUGACAGUACCGGGAGAAUAAGCUCCGGCUAACUCCGUG